GCGGCGACUUGGCGGCGGGUGCCAUGCGUCUGGAGCUUCACAUUCUCUGCCCCCCACCCACCGCGCCGGCGCUCCCUUGUCACGCCUCGGGAAGCGCGCACCUGCCAAGCAGGAUGAAUAAUCUGAUAUCAUGUGAAAUGAGGAAAUAAGAAGCUUUCUGCUGACUUCAUUUUGACCCAGGGUCCAAAAGGUGAUGUAAUCCUGUGGCAAGAAGAUUCAAAACUGUGGACUAUCUUGCAAAAAAUACAAGAAGAUAUUGAAAGUUUUCAUGAGUGCCUACCACCUAAUCUCAAACACUAUCAUUCAUAUGUGCCUCAUUGAGCAAAUCUUUAAUGAGGAUCUAUAUGCCAGCAAUAUCUUUUGCUUGGGAGCAGAAACAGAAAGUACAUGAUGGACUUCAUUGAAGGAUGGAGAUUUGGAAGACAUGAAUGGAUGAAGAACCAAGUGCGUGAGGGCACCUAUCAGGAUUAUUGCUGAAAUCCUUAUGGAGUUAACUGGCUGAGAGGAAGGCAAGCAAGCGAGGACUGAUGGGCCCUUGGCACUGUGAGAACAGUGGAGGAGGAGGGAGCAGGGUUCAUAAGGAGGAGCACAAACAGAAAGUUCAGUGGCCCCAAUAAAAAUAACACCAGAAUCUUCCAGAUACUUUCUCCAUAAGGCGAAAAGUAGAGAUGGGGUUUCACCAUGUUGCCCAGGCUGGUCUCAAACUCCUGAGCUCAGGCCAUCUGCCCGCCUCGGCCUCCCAAAGUGCUAGGAUUACAGAAGGUGCCUGCUUCCCCUUCACCUUCCACCAUGAUUGUAAGUUUCCUGAGGCCUCCCCAGACAUGUGGAACUAGACAAGGUCUUAUUAUGUUGCCCAGGUUGGAGUGUCUAUGCAUAGGGCGCGAUCAUAGUGCACUGCAGCCUUCAACUCCUGGCCUCAAUGGAUCCUCCCGGCCUCAUCCUCCCAAGGCUAUUUAUUAUUUUGUUAUAUUGAGACAGGGUCUUGCUAUGUUGCCCAGGCUGAUCUCCAACUCCUGUCCUCAAGAAAUCCUCCUGCCUCAGCCUCCCAAAGUGCUGGGAUUACCAAUAACAGGUUUCUCUUAUUGCCUGGAUCCAAGAGCAUCUCCUGGGUUCUUCCUGUUAGAAUACUGAAUGUCCAUGGAGAGUUUAACAUAAGGAAGAAGAGGCCUGUCUCCCAGCUGAAACUGGUGCAGCAGAUCAUGCAAAGUAAAACCUCAGCAGCUGUGAUGAAGUAGAGCAGAGGGCCUGGGUGUCUGUCAGCUCCAAGCGGAAGAUUUCCCCAGCUUUCUAGGUAACUGUGCUUCCACUGAGCAAGCCAGACACAGACUUGAAUGUCAUCACAAUCUGUGCCUGUGACAUCUUUCCCCAAGAAUAGCACAAAUUGAACUUUUACAUUCUUCAUAAUAUGGAAGGAAAGGUAUUGACUGAGCCACUUCUUUAUGCCUCAAGACAUCUCAUAUGUAUUUAUAUGGAUACAUACAUGAAUGUAUAUAUUCUGUCAUAAUAACAUAUUCUAUUUUUCUUAUUAUAGCACAGUGUUAGGAUAGGCUACAUAGGCUGCAUUAAACCCUCAAAUAGAAGUUUAUAUUAUGCAUCAGAAGCCAGUGCAGGGACUCUCCUCAGCACAACAUCUCUAAGUGGUGACUUGGAGGUUCAGGCUCCUUUCAUCUUAAAAUGCCAUCAUCUUCAGCAUUUGGCCUCAACAGUUGCCAGAGAGGGAGAAGAGAGUAUGUAUAAGACCACACUGCAGGAUCUGUGUUAGGUCUGCAAGCACUGCUGUCACCUCUGCCAAAUCCCGUUAGCCAGAACCCAAUCAUAUGGCCCCAUCCUAACUGCAAGGGAAGCCUGGGAAAGGUCUUCUUGUAUGCCAGGAAAAGAAAAUGAAAUCGACAAGUAUCUAGCCAGUCUUUGCUACAAGUUUCUACAUGUUGGAAUUAUUAUCUAUAUUUUUCUUCUGAUCAUGCUUAGCAUUUGAUACUAUGUAGACUGCCUUGUUGAGUCCUGCUGUAUUUUGUGACAUCCACAUGCAGCAUCCCAUUCCUCACAACAGGACUAGGAGUGGUCAGAAGUUUUAUCACCCACUUUAUGGACGGAAACCCUGAGACCCAGAGCAGUUACAUGGCUUGUCCAAAGUUACAUAGUACUGUUAACUUAAAAACACAAUUUAUAAAUUUAGACAAAGAAAGAGGAGACUUUAUUUCUUAUAAAGGGUUAUAGCCUUCAAAGUGGCUAUCUCACAGGCUGGGAAGCUCAGCCUUCAGCAGAAGCCCAGAGACAAGCAUUUUGAAGGCAGAGGGGUUGGGAUGGAGCUUUAUGCUGAACAGGUUGACUAAAUAUACAUAUUCAACAGGUUACAGGAGGAGCUAUGAAUAUUCAUGAGGGUGGUCCUGACACAUGCGUAUUGAACAAACAUACAUGUAACACAUGACCCAUGUUCACUUUGGGAUGGAGACUUAACAUUUCAAUGUAUUACAGUUAGGCCCUACACAUCAAAAGGUCAUUUCAGGACACAAAAGCUCACAAGUACACAAUCUCUGUAAACUAGUCAGAACCAGUCCAUGGUUGGUGGUCUUAUCAGGAAAAAGUUACUAAAAUUAGUCUCUCAUCCAAUGAAAGCUGUAGUUAUGGCUGGUGGAACAGGGGUUCAGUUGGGCAGAGUCUAUGAGCAGGAUGAUUUGCAAUUGUUUAAAUAUUGCUUAUCUUGAGGCCAGUGCUUGUUUAGCUGCUGGAGAAAAAGAAAAUCCUUGUGGCAGUUAGAGCAUAGUUUCUUCCUUAGGUGUAGGAGUACAUGACUUCCCCUCACCUGGCAUGGCCUUAGGUCCUGUUUAUAAUUCGGUAUCUUAUUGCCACAAAGAAUCUGUUCUGUGAGUCAUGUGAUCUCUAUUGGAACAUUAAUGCUGCUCAGUUGUUGUGUCUAAACCAUAAAAGAGAAGGAGAGUAUAAUUAGGCAUGUCUGACCUCUCAUCAUAGCUGGGAACUAAGUCUUUAAAUUUUUUUCUGGGGUCCUCUUGGCCACAAGGGGGUCCAUUUAGUCAGUGGGGGCCUUGGGAUUUAUUUUUAGUUUACAUUGCUAAGUGACAGAGCUUUGCUUCUUUCACUCUGAGGUUAGUGGUCUCUCUGCUGUGCCACAUUGUCUUCCCCAGAAGCUCAAACUGGAUGCCCAGCCCUCAGU
ensembl:lncRNA novel transcript